GACGAACGCUGGCGGCGUGCUUAACACAUGCAAGUCGAACGGAAAGGCCCUGCUUUUGUGGGGUGCUCGAGUGGCGAACGGGUGAGUAACACGUGAGUAACCUGCCCUUGACUUUGGGAUAACUUCAGGAAACUGGGGCUAAUACCGGAUAGGAGCUCCUGCUGCAUGGUGGGGGUUGGAAAGUUUCGGCGGUUGGGGAUGGACUCGCGGCUUAUCAGCUUGUUGGUGGGGUAGUGGCUUACCAAGGCUUUGACGGGUAGCCGGCCUGAGAGGGUGACCGGCCACAUUGGGACUGAGAUACGGCCCAGAGUCCUACGGGAGGCAGCAGUGGGGAAUAUUGCACAAUGGGCGGAAGCCUGAUGCAGCAACGCCGCGUGCGGGAUGACGGCCUUCGGGUUGUAAACCGAUGUCGCCUGUGACGAAGCGUGAGUGGCGGUAAUGGGUAAAGAAGCACCGGCUAACUACGUG
rnacentral:rRNA from 1 species